CAAAAAGGCGGGCGAAGAAUUCUGUGGUUUCUAUUAUUGGCCCUCGUCUACCCUUAUUUUCUUCUCAGACCAGACGUCUGCUUCAAGUUGGUCCGGGUAAAUCAAUUUUACCAAGAAAGAAAAGGAAUAGUUGGGAACAAUGUAUCUCCAUAUUUGGAGAGCAUUUGACUGGAGCACCUUUUCCACGAAAGUAUAACGGCAUUUCUAGCUCUUUUUGCCAAAGCAGAAGCUCUUCAUGGCAAAGUAGAAGUUGUCUUCGCCUCAGGUCGUCCACACCAAGUGCCUUUCCUGACAGAACUUCUUUCUGUUUAUCCAACCGUAAACUUGAGAAGGCUUUUGUGAAGGAUCUGCAUAUUCCAUAUGCAACCGUAGGUCCAGAUGAGCCACAUGCAGCAAGUACAUCUUGGCCAGAUGGUAUUCUUGAGAAACAGGAGCCA